rnacentral:rRNA from 1 species
CCCUUAGAUGUUCUGGGCCGCACGCGCGCUACACUGACGAUGGCAACGAGUUUUUCCUUCGCCGAAAGGUGUGGGUAAUCUUUUGAAACAUCGUCGUGCUGGGGAUAGAUCAUUGCAAUUUUUGAUCUUGAACGAGGAAUUCAUAGUAAGCGCGAGUCAUCAGCUCGCGUUGAUUACGUCCCUGCCCUUUGUACACACCGCCCGUCGCUACUACCGAUUGAAUGGUUUAGUGAGGACUCCUGAUUGGCGCCGCCGCCCCGGCAACGGAGCAGCGGACUGCCGAAAAGUUGUUCAAACUUGAUCAUUUAGAGGAAGUAAAAGUCGUAACA